AUUGAACGCUGGCGGCAUGCCUUACACAUGCAAGUCGAACGGUAGCGGGCCUUCGGGUGCCGACGAGUGGCGAACGGGUGAGUAAUGUAUCGGAACGUACCUUUCAGUGGGGGAUAACGUAGCGAAAGUUACGCUAAUACCGCAUAUUCUGUGCGCAGGAAAGCAGGGGACCUUCGGGCCUUGCGCUGAUUGAGCGGCCGAUUUCAGAUUAGCUAGUUGGUGAGGUAAAGGCUCACCAAGGCAACGAUCUGUAGCGGGUCUGAGAGGAUGAUCCGCCACACUGGAACUGAGACACGGUCCAGACUCCUACGGGAGGCAGCAGUGGGGGAUUUUGGACAAUGGGGGCAACCCUGAUCCAGCCAUGCCGCGUGAGUGAAGAAGGCCUUCGGGUUGUAAAGCUCUUUCGGCCGGGAAGAAAUCGUAUCAGCUAAUACCUGGUGCGGAUGACGGUACCGGCAUAAGAAGCACCGGCUAACUACGUGCCAGCCGCCGCAGUAAUAC
rnacentral:rRNA from 1 species